rnacentral:rRNA from 1 species
UGAGGAAUAUUGCCCAAUGGGGGAAACCCUGAGGCAGCAACGCCGCGUGAACGAAGACGGCCUUCGGGUUGUAAAGUUCUUUUCUGGGGGACGAUGAUGACGGUACCCCAGGAAUAAGUUCCGACUAACUACGUGCCAGCAGCCGCGGUAAAACGUAGGGGACAAGCGUUAUCCGGAUUUACUGGGCGUAAAGCGCACGUAGGCGGUGAGGUAAGUUGGCCGUGUAAGCUCCCGGCUUAACUGGGAGAGGUCGGACAAAGCUGCCCCACUUGAGGCUGAGAGAGGAGAGCGGAAUUCCCGGUGUAGUGGUGGAAUGCGUAGAUAUCGGGAGGAACUCCAGUGGCGAAGGCGGCUCUCUGGCUCAGAACUGACGCUGAGGUGCGAAAGCGUGGGGAGCGAACGG